UACGUAGGGUGCAAGCGUUGUCCGGAAUUAUUGGGCGUAAAGAGCUCGUAGGCGGUUUGUCGCGUCUGCUGUGAAAAUCCAGGGCUUAACCCUGGACCUGCAGUGGGUACGGGCAGACUAGAGUGCGGUAGGGGAGAUCGGAAUUCCUGGUGUAGCGGUGAAAUGCGCAGAUAUCAGGAGGAACACCGGUGGCGAAGGCGGAUCUCUGGGCCGUAACUGACGCUGAGACGCGAAAGCGUGGGGAGCAAACAGG
rnacentral:rRNA from 1 species